GACCGUAAUCAAAAUGCACACGAAUACAGCGAUGACCAUUUUUGGUGAAUGUUCUCUUAGAAGGCCCGAGGAUGAUGAUGAUAAUUGAUAUACUUGUCGAAAAACCAAGAACUGAAAGUCUGUCAACCGGGGCAAUAUUUGAAACACAAGUGGCAUGGAAAGCGGGUAAAAAGGCUCGCAAGCGUUUCAGAAGUGCCGUAAGAGUUACAUGGCUUUCUUUGCAAUCAGGAACAAAUGCAAGCCAACUGAUACCAAGCGCUAACACUGUCGCUACUGCCUUUUCCCCUUCGAACAAAAGAUAGACCGAAGACAUACAUAUAUAUUGUUUUAAUUUUCAUAUAUAAAUUUCGAUUUUAGUGUUUUUUUCUUUACAAAGUGUUUCAUAUCGAAUUUUAUAUUAUUAUAUUCAAUUUUCCUUUUCACGUGGUAUGAAAAUUGCAGAUCGAUUUCGCUGGACGAGAUACGAAUCUAUUUCAAUUUGAAUCACUUACUCACCGAUAUUAUUAUUACUUGUUAUUAAUUCUAUUUAAGUUAUUUUGUUCUGUUGUUUGAAUCAGUUGACCCUGAUAUAUUUUAACCAAUAUUCAAUAUUUUGCAUUCAAAACCGAACACAAUAAUAUCGUUAAUUAAAGGAUCACACAUGAAAUAUCCCGGUUGAAAUACCCGAACAAUUUAAAACUCUCGAUUAUUUUUGAUUCGUUGUGAUUAUCUGUUGUGCAAAAAUGAUGGCUCGAAAGGGUGGCGUGAACAAAUUUUUGUUAACCCAUUUCAAAUUCAAGUUCCAGCCGGAUGCGACUAACAACCCUGGUCUAAAUUUUAUCUUUCUGACGUUUUUUUCAUUCGACUAUGGCGAAUACAUGUGAUUAAGUCUAUUCAUAACCGCAGGUCUAAUUAUUUCCCCAGUAUGUUCCAUGGAUGUAGUGUACCCCUAACUGUCUGAUCACAAAUACUUACGGCCAAAUACGUUUCCUUCUGAAAAGAUAUUAGUUUGAAUGUCGCAGAUUUUCAAAUGCACUUUUUAUACUAGAUUGUGGCAUGACUCCCGAAUGUGGAAAACACAAUCUAAGUUUUUUUUUAUUCAUUAUUAUUAUUUUACAUUGUACUCCAAAUGUAAUCGCUGCUCUUUAAAUAAGAUAAAGUCUACAUGAAUUAUGCAAACAAAUAUUUUAUAAAUAGCUAAGUUUGAUAAUAAUUUUAAUACCAAACAAACUGUAUAUGAAUAUAUAUUGAACUUUCUUUUGUUUCUGUGCCAUUCAAUUGAUAUUUUUUAAUUCUCCCCUUUAUGUUGUAUUAGUUUCAACACUUGUCUUUUAGUAAGAUAACUGUUUUCAAAAAAAUUAUUGAAAUAAUAUAACAUAUAAAAAGAGGGUGAAAUUUCAGCAUUGAAUUAUAUAAUUGAGUUAUGCGUUAUUGUAAUAUGACACUCCGAUACUUUUACCAUAUUAAUAUUAGUGCUACUGGAAAUAUUCUUUUAGGGCUUUUGUUAAAUUUUAUAAUUGUAGCCAAAUUUGUUAUCUUUCGUUUACUAAUGUUGCAAUAUAAAUAUAUUAAUCGUUUCUUA